rnacentral:rRNA from 1 species
CCUACGGGUGGCAGCAGUGAGGAAUAUUGGUCAAUGGGCGCUAGCCUGAACCAGCCAAGUAGCGUGAAGGAUGACUGCCCUAUGGGUUGUAAACUUCUUUUAUAUGGGAAUAAAGUGCCGUAUGUAUCCUGCUUUGCAUGUACCUUAUGAAUACGGAUCGGCUAACUCCGUGCCAGCAGCCGCGGUAAUACGGAGGAUCCGAGCGUUAUCCGGAUUUAUUGGGUUUAAAGGGAGCGUAGUCGGGUUGUUAAGUCAGUUGUGAAAGUUUGCUGCUCAACCGUAAAAUUGCAGUUGAUACUGGCAGUCUUGAGUACAGUAGAGGUAGGCGGAAUUCGUGGUGUAGCGGUGAAAUGCGUAGAGAUCACGAAGAAUUCUGAUUGCGAAGGCAGCCUGCUGGACUGUAACUGACGCUGAUGCGCGAAAGUGUGGGUAUCAAACAGGAUUAGAUACCCGAGUAGUC